rnacentral:lncRNA from 1 species
UUCAUCCAUCCAAAUCCAUAGAUUUUAGAUGCAAGGAAUGAAGGCCCUCUAUUUGGGUGAUUAGCCUUUGCUUAUGCAAAGAGGAAUCUACAAAGGUAUAAAUUUCAACUCACUUUGUUUUUUAGUUGAGUUUUGGUUCACCAAUCUACUAGGCUUUGAAUUUCAUGGGUAAUGUUUUGUUUUUGAAUGCAUGCAAGCAUGAUUCCGCCUUUAAUUGUUAAUUGCAUGCUAUAUGAUGUUAUUCAAAUGAGCAUGUUUUCACAAAAUCAUCAUUCAAGUGGUAUCAGAGCCUAGGUGUAGUAGUUGGUGAAUCCUUUUGGGUUUUGUAGUUCAUAGUUUGUGAUUUAAAAGUUGUAAUAUGUUACAAGCUUUAUUCUUGUUUCUUUGAAUGUAAAUUUUGUUAGAAAAUUUGACAUCUCAAAUGUUGUAGAUGUAGUUCAUAUGAGCAUGAAUAUUGGAGCUAAAAUUUGGUGCCAUGAUUUUGG